AUUUAAAUAGUUUAGGUAAAAUGUUGAUUUGUGGAGUCAAAGAUAUAAUAAAUAUUAUUUUAAAUU
rnacentral:tRNA from 1 species